UCCUUGUCGGGUAAGUUCCGACCUGCACGAAUGGCGUAAUCAUGGCCACGCUGUCUCCACCCAGGACUCAGUGAAAUUGAAAUCGCAGUGAAGAUGCUGUGUACCCGCACCUAGACGGAAAGACCCCGUGAACCUUUACUACAGCUUGGCACUGAACAUUGACCCUACAUGUGUAGGAUAGGUGGGAGGCUAUGAAUCACGUACGCUAGUAUGUGUGGAGCCGUCCUUGAAAUACCACCCUUGUAUGUUUGAUGUUCUAACAUUGGUCCCUUAUCGGGAUUGUGGACAGUGUCUGGUGGGUAGUUUGACUGGGGCGGUCUCCUCCCAAAUAGUAACGGAGGAGCACGAAGGUUAGCUAAUCACGGUCGGACAUCGUGAGGUUAGUGCAAUGGCAUAAGCUAGCUUAACUGCGAGACAGACACGUCGAGCAGGUACGAAAGUAGGUCUUAGUGAUCCGGUGGUUCUGUAUGGAAGGGCCAUCGCUCAACGGAUCAAAGGUACUCUGGGGA
rnacentral:rRNA from 1 species